rnacentral:rRNA from 1 species
GACGAACGCUGGCGGCGUGCUUAACACAUGCAAGUCGAACGGAGUGGCGAACGGGUGAGUAACACGUGGGUGACCUGCCCUGCACUUCGGGAUAAGCCUGGGAAACUGUGUCUAAUACCGGUUAGUGUGGGAUGGGCCCGCGGCCUAUCUGCUUGUUGGUGGGGGAAUGGCCUACCCAGGCGGCGACGGGUAGCCGGACUGAGAGGGUGGACGGCCACAUUGGGACUGAGACACGGCCCAGUCGCGUAGGGUAGGCAGCAGGGGGGAAUAUUGCACAAUGAGGGGGAGCCUGAUGAGGAGACGCGGGGUGGGUGAUGACGGCCUUCGGGUUGUAAACUCCUUUAACCAUAGACGCGGUAGAUGGAGAAGAAGCGCCGGCUAACUACGUGCCAGCAGCCGCGGUAAUUC